UCCUUCCUCUCCCAUCCCCUCCGCCCCUCUCUCCUCCCCUCCCCCGUCGCGCGCUCUCUCUCUCCCUCUCCCAUCUCCCCGCACCUCUCUCUCCGGCCAUCCCCGCACCGGCCUCUCCAGCGGCGCGCGCGGAGGCCGACCGCGUUCUCCUCUCAACCGCAGCGCUCGGCUUGUCAGCGGUGAAGCCCCCCGCGUGGCCACGGCGGUGGGCGCGGAGGCCGGGAGCACCCCCAUCACCGGGCAACCCUUGCAAACCACGGGCAGGCCUCGCGGUUGGAUCCGGGAGCGCGGUCGAGGCUCGGCUCGGGGAGGCCGGAUCCAAGGGCGAGGGCGCCGGGCAGCACGCAGGACGGCCCCUCCCUCCCUCCCCGGCGCUGGUGGCGGCGAGGCGCGGGUGGCCGAGUGGGCGCGGGCGGCCGGUGCGAGCGGCCUGCUCGCGGCAGCGGCAGCGGCCCGCCCCCGCUCCCUCCGGCGGCCGGGCCGCGGCGGGGCGGAGCUGAGCAGCAGCCACGACGGGGGCGGGGCAGCGGCCGCGGCGGGGAUUCCGUUGCCAUCGCGACCACCUGGCGUUUGCAUCUACUCUGUUUCUCAAGCAUCUUUGAGCAAAUCAAAGGCUUCGUUCUCAGCUGGCCAGGGCCACACAUGAGGUGGUCUCCUCUCCUCGGGUGUCUGGUACUCGAUGCUGCCGCUGGUGAGCAGCUGGUGACAGGCGCCCUCGAGCAGCGCCAUGAUGCACAUGCAGAUGGUGUUCUUCUUUUUUUUUUGAUAAUAAGAUGGUGUUCUUCUUGAAGACCCAGCAUAACGCAUAGUCAUCCUGGUCAUGGGAAGGCAGGUAGCUGCUGCUGGUUGAAGCUAACCCGGAUUCACAUCUGUGGGCUAGAUGUGACGUCCUCGCGUCUCCGUAGUUACCGUCUUUCUGUUUAACAUUGCACCGGAUAAUUUAGAGGCAGACACUUCCUCGUACCGUUGCAGAUUGGUGCACUUUGUCCAUGAAGUCUGAUGAAUGGAACUGCUCCCUCCUUUGUAUUCCCAAGUGACGCCUAAUUCAUGUGCCUGCACUUUGUGCAGUGUUGACUGAGAUUUGGCUCUAGACCAAAUAGAGGCAUCCCUGGCUAUUGGUUUUUACUGUGACAAAGAUGACUUUGAUGACUUCUGUUCUCGGGCCUCUGAGUUGGUAGAGAAGGCCAGUGGAGCGCCACUUUUUACUGUUGUGCAGUCAAUCGAGCCAUCGAAAUAGAUUUAUAACCAAGAUGGUUGGCUGGGUUGUUCUGGCAGUAGCAUGGCCAACGACGACGACCUUGAUGGCUCUGGCGAAGCUGGAGAAGAGGAGUGGCAGAUCCUCUAAAUGGGAGGAAAACUGAUGAUGCUCUUGGUGAUGCUCUUGUCGGAGGGCAGGGAAAUAGAAUGGGGGUAUUGUGUCUCUUCUGCUUUGAACUUGUCUUUGGGUUUCUGGUUGUGACAGUGUGAGGGUAUUCGCUCUUUAGUUAUCGUAUAUUGAUUCGGGUUUGGCUCGUCAGUUUGGCGAUUCUAAUCUUGGGCCAGCAAGGUCACUAUGGCUUUUCUUCCGUCACUGAUUUGGGGCCUUUAAGCAAUAAUUCAUCUAAAACACAAUGCAUCAAGGUUGCUAUAAGUGUAAAUGAAUUAAGCACUGUAAACAAGAAUUGUUUUGCUUGCUGUAAGCCUGUGAACUUAGUGUGUAUAUUUUAAUUUCAUCGAGUGUAAUAAUUUGUAGAUGUGCAGAAUACUGUUUUGGGUUUAUUUUUAUUCACUCAUUGCAUUGGAACA